rnacentral:lncRNA from 1 species
CCUCUUUCAAAAUCAUACAGUUUUGGUUCCCAGUAGAAAAUUUGGCACAAGAUUGGAUGUGUUGUCACCUUUAUAAUGAUGUGGCACAACUGUGCAGACGUGGCUUGGCUUAAUCCAAAUCUUCUUCUUCAUCCACUUUGUCUCAAUUGCUUCAACAUGUAAACAUCCUCUUUCUAAAUCCGUUUAACACUUCCAUCAUCAAUUCGUUUUACAUCUUCAGCUUCUUCGGGUCACACCAUCACCUUCAUCUUUUCUGAAAAUUCAUGGCUUCCAAAGCUUUUUCAGUCACAAGCAACUUACAAGAGGUUUGCCAUGGAAAAAUAUUAAUUCUUUAGGGUUUCAAGAGGUUUGCAGCUUUGGGGUUUCAAUACACAAAACCAAUCGAUAUCAUAUGUCGACUUUGAGGUUUGAGAGAGGAAACGAAAGAGGAAAUUGAUUUUGCGAUUUCAGUACACUAAUGAAGAAGAACUAGAACACAACUCGCGAUUUCGGGUUUCAACAAUAGAGGAAUGCGAUUUUCGGAUUUUGGGGUUGAAGAAUAACUGGAAACAGAUAGGACCUUGGUUAUGAGAAGAGCCAUCAACUAUGUAAAUAAUUGGAACGCUUCUCAUGUUUUUUAAAUUUGUUUUAUUUUCUUUUCAAGUUCUUAACUUAAUUGUUUAUUUACUUUAAUUUAGUGAUUUUUGUUUAUAAAUUAAAGAGAUAAUGACAUGUAAACCGUUUUACAAAAUGUAGAUUAAGUCAUGUCAGCGACAACUGUGCCACAUCGGUAAAAAGGUUACAACUCGUUUAAUUUCGUGCCAAAUUUUCUGUUGGAGGACUAAAACGGUAUGAUUUUAAAAUAGGGGGCCAAUUCUGUGAACAUAUGAAAAUAGGGGACCAAAAUUGUAAUUAAGCUAAAUAUUUAUUAGAUCGUCCAAAACAAAAUCAAUAUAUACACG